rnacentral:rRNA from 1 species
GGAUAACCAUUGGAAACGAUGGCUAAUACCGCAUAACGUCUACGGACCAAAGAGGGGGACCUUCGGGCCUCUCGCUUCAGGAUAUGCCCAGGUGGGAUUAGCUAGUUGGUGAGGUAAUGGCUCACCAAGGCGACGAUCCCUAGCUGGUCUGAGAGGAUGAUCAGCCACACUGGAACUGAGACACGGUCCAGACUCCUACGGGAGGCAGCAGUGGGGAAUAUUGCACAAUGGGCGCAAGCCUGAUGCAGCCAUGCCGCGUGUAUGAAGAAGGCCUUCGGGUUGUAAAGUACUUUCAGUCGUGAGGAAGGCGUUGAAGUUAAUAGCUUCNUCGUUUGACGUUAGCGACAGAAGAAGCACCGGCUAACUCCGUGCCAGCAGCCGCGGUAAUACGGAGGGUGCGAGCGUUAAUCGGAAUUACUGGGCGUAAAGCGCAUGCAGGUGGUUUGUUAAGUCAGAUGNGAAAGCCCGGGGCUCAACCUCGGAANCGNNUUUGAAACUGGCAGGCUAGAGUANNGUANAGGGGGGUAGAAUUUCAGGUG